UGGUUCUGGCAUCGAUGAAGAACGCAGCGAAAUGCGAAAAGUAAUGUGAAUUGCAGAAUUCAGUGAAUCAUCGAAUCUUUGAACGCACAUUGCGCCCGCCAGUAUUCUGGCGGGCAUGCCUGUCUGAGCGUCAUUUCAACCCUCAUGCCCCUAGGGCGUGGUGUUGGGGAUCGGCCAAGGCCCGCAAGGGACGGCCGGCCCCUAAAUCUAGUGGCGGACCCGUCGUGGCCUCCCCUGCGAAGUAGUGAUAUUCCGCAUCGGACAGCGACGAGCCCCAGCCGUUAAACCCCCCAAACUUUACAAGGUUGACCUCAGAUCAGGUAGGAAUACCCGCUGA
rnacentral:misc_RNA from 1 species